CUCGAAAAAAGAUGAGCUAAAAAUAUAUUAUUUAGAAUAAAUAAAUUAUAUAGCAAAAUAAUUACUAAAUAUAUUUAUUAGUGGCUACAUACCUCGCAUCUUUUAUACCUAGUUUGUAAUGAUUUUAUUUUAGUAAGACAAUAUUUAGAUAUUUAUAAUGAAUAAAAGGCUAAGCUUUUAUUUUCUCCUUAUCAUUCUUCCCACUAUUUAUAUAGGCUUCAAAAUAGCCAUUAUAUUUUGUUAUAAUUUCCUAUCUAAAAUAAUACCUUAUGAUAGUAAUAUACUUUACAAUUUUUAUAUAAUUUAAUAUUCUACUUAUUAUGGUAAAAUAAAUAUUUAUAAUCCUAACAUUCCAACUUAAAAUACCCAUUUACCCUAUCAACCCUUAAUAUAAUUAUAGAGUGAACUCGGCAACUUUCUACCUGGACUGUUUACCAAAAACAUUGUUUAUUGAAUUAAAUAAAUAAUAAAUAAUUUCUGCCCAGUGAAAUUUCAACGGCCGCGGUACUUUGACCGUGCAAAGGUAGCAUAAUCAUUUGCCUUUUUAUUGGAGGCUAGAAUGAAUGAAUAAACAUAGGUGGACCUGUGCCCUAUAAUCAUAUAAAAAUUAUUCUCCAGGUGAAGAAACCUGGAUAUUAUAAAAAGACAAAAAGACCCUAUCAAGCUUUAUAUUUAUUUAUAACUCUUAUAUUUUAUAUUUGGUUGGGGCGACUAAUGAGAAUUAAUACUCUCUCAAUAUUAUAAAGAAAAAUUCUUCUAUUUUAUUUAAUAUUAUAUUAUAAAAAAGCUACUGUAGGGAUAACAGGCUAAUAUUAUCCUAGAGUUCAAAUUAAAGAUAAUGAUUGGCACCUCGAUGUUGGCUUAGGGGCCCUCCUUUUUGUAGAAAAAAAGAAAGGUAGUUUGUUCAACUAUUAUACCCCUACAUGAGCUGAGUUCAGACCGAUGUAAAUCAGGUUAGUUUCUAUCUUUUAUUAUUAAAUUUUAAUUUUAUAGUACGAAAGGACCUAAAAUU
rnacentral:rRNA from 1 species